AAGACUUAAGAGCUGAGCUCAAUUGAUCAAUUCUCACUUUUUACUAAAUACAAGCUUCAUUUCUUUUCUCCAGAUUGGAUGGAGCAGAACAAGUCUACAAGGUGCUGCAUGAUCAUCAAAGCAUCAAUGGAAAAUAUAUUUGAUGCAAAAGGAUUACAGAAAAAGGGAAAUAAAAAAAUAAUGGCCACAUAUAGCCUCCUAAUCAUAAUACACAAGAAAAGAACUAUCAAUUAUGAUACACUUAGUAUCACACAUAAUUGAAGAAGAGAUACUAGUCUUUUACAGAAGCAGAGCCAUUGCCAGCCAUCCAUUUUGGGAAGCAACCCAGAAUAGUUUGUUCAGAGGAAGGUUUGUAAUUUGAGAAAAAUUCUGGAUCCUGUUCAAUAGACUCUGAAUAUCUUCCCAAAAUUGAAACUAUCUCAUCAAAAUGUGGUCGUUUAUAAGGAUUGCUUGACCAGCAUCUAUUGAUAAGAUGACUAAAUGCCACUGGACAUGCAGGGGGUAACGGUGGUCGCGCAUUCUUCUGGCAGACUGCAAAUGCAGCUUGUUCCGGGGUCAUGCUGUCAAAUGGUGUCAAUGCAGUUAAAAGCUCCCAUAGCACUAUGCCAAAACUAUAAACGUCGACCUUCUUUGUGUGAUGUUUCUCUUUGAUCAUUUCAGGAGCCAUCCACCGGUAUGUCCCUGUAAAUCGCUUUGCACUACCACACUGAGAUUCCAAGCAUGAGAUGCCAAAAUCAGCUACUUUAACACACAUAUCUUCUCCGAGCAGUAAAUUUUCUGAUUUGAGAUCCCUAUGAAGUACCCCUUGGGAAUGAAGAUAUUGCAUCCCCCGUGCAAUGUCAAGAGCUAAUUUCAGAACAAGUUUGAGUGGAACUGAAUACGGCUCUUGCUGGUGGAGAUAUUUUCUCAAUGAGCCUCCAGCCAAAUACUCAGUAAUUAUACAAAACACGGGAGGUUUUUUGCAAGCUGCAACAAAAGUAACGAUGUUAGGAUGGCUUAACCGAAAAAGCAGAGCCACCUCCGAAGUAAACUGCUUCUCAAGCAUAGCAGCCAAGUCCUCAUCCUCUUCAGGCUGGCUUAUCAUCUUAAUGGCCACGUCUUUUUGCUCAUAAAUCCCUCUAUAAAUUCUACUAUGCCUCCCUGAUGCAAAUUUGUUACCAAUAAACAAUUGGGACAUAUCUGCGCUCCAUUCUCCCUCUUCCUCUCCCUUAAUCUCUGCACCAGAUGAUACCAAAUACUUGGACCACGAAACUGCUCUCUUGUACUCUCCAAGAGAAAGUCUCCUCCCUGAUCUGCCAUUGUUGGAGAUUUGCUUAAACCAGUAAAAGUUCUUCAUAGGUCUGAACCGAACGUAACAAAAUCAUCAAAUAUUUGAUCUCUCAGCCUCUAGAAAUCAAUGUGGAAACCAAAGGGCCCCAAAAUUCAGAAUAAAACCUCCACUUAAAUGUGAUCCGACGAGGAAAAAAGUGAACUGGAAAGCAUUGAAACUAUUUCUGCCCCAACUACAUUUCGAAAAAUUCAGUAUUCAUGCAUUCAAACGUUGAUUAAUGGAAGUGAAGUAAAACACACAAAGAAAAUGCUCUAAUCAACCAUUUAAAUUGAAUUCCAGUACUUGAAAACAAAUUUGAAAAAAAAAACUGCUUUUUCAAAUAAUCAUAAUAACAGGUUCGCUAGUUUUGCACCAGAAAGAAAACUCAUUCCUCGGAUAAGAGAAGAAAGAGAGAGACCCUUAUCAAAUCCCAAAACUUUAGCAUAAAAUGAGACAAAAAAAAGAGAACAGAAUGAGCAGAAAAAGCCACCGUGUUGAUGAAAAUAAAGCAGAAAAAACACCGGUUUUUAUUUUUUUUGAAAAGUUGUGAGAAAAUAAGGAAGUGGUUUUCAGAGAGCCAUUUCUAGAGGGAGAAAGAAAAUAACUUGAGAAGGUUGAAGACAAGAGAGAAAGAGAAGAGAGAGUCAGUUGGGUUGUUGUAAAUACUGUUGGUGUUAUUGUUGUUUCUGGUGUGUGCAGUAGAGAGCAUAUGCCAGGAGCUGGCACUUCCCUCUCUCGAAAAUUAAUUAAUUGAAAAGAAGAAAACUCUUUCUCCGGUAACACUCAUAACGUGCGAAGAUCCACUUCUGAGGGGACACUCGGGGCUCGUGAUGGUGACCUCUGCCCAUCCCCUCUCAUUU
rnacentral:misc_RNA from 1 species